rnacentral:tRNA from 1 species
GGGGACGUAGUUAAAAAUAACAUUUAAUUUGCAAUUAAAAAGUGCUUACCUAGCCUUCCUCA